GAUAAACGCUGGCGGCGCACAUAAGACAUGCAAGUCGAACGGACAGAAGCCUUAGUUUACUAUGGUGGAAGUUAGUGGCGGACUGGUGAGUAACACGUAAGCAAUCUGCCUAUCAGAGGGGAACAACAGUUAGAAAUGACUGCUAAUACCGCAUAUGCCUAAGCAACACAUGUUGCAAUAGGGAAAGGAGCAAUCCGCUGAUAGAUGAGCUUGCGUCUGAUUAGAUAGUUGGUGGGGUAACGGCCUACCAAGCCGACGAUCAGUAGCCGGACUGAGAGGUUGAACGGCCACAUUGGAACUGAGAUACGGUCCAGACUCCUACGGGAGGCAGCAGUGGGGAAUAUUGGGCAAUGGGCGAAAGCCUGACCCAGCGACGCCGCGUGAAGGAAGAAGGUCUUCGGAUUGUAAACUUUUGUCAGCAGGGAAGAAGAAAGUGACGGUACCUGCCAAGAAAGCCACGGCUAACUACGUG
rnacentral:rRNA from 1 species